UUGCCGGCAAUCAGUUGGAGGGAAAUACUUGUACUCUGUAGUUUUACCGUUUCCUCCAAUUGAAAACAUAUUGUAAGGUAAUAGCAAAAAAACUCAAUUUUUCAAGAAAUGCAAAUAAACUCAUUUUACUUUUGAUAGUUCGAGAUUUCCGAUUCUUCUGUCGUGUAUUAUAACUAUUAGCAAAUAAACUCAACUUUUUUUCUUAGAAAUGCAAAUAAAACUCAAACAAACUUACAUCUUUGAGCUUGUUUGAUUGUUUGGAAAAUUUCAGAAAAAGAUAAGGAAGAAUUGCAAAAAAGAAGGAUUUCACCAAAAAAACAUCGAAUCAAAUUUAAUUAUUUUACAAAUCAUUUUAGCUUAGCCAGAAAAACUCAAAAUUUUUCAGAAGUCAAAAUUUUCUUUCUAAAACCUUUCCAAAUAAUCAAACACAACAAGAGCUAAAUUUAGCAUCCUAAUAAUAACCUCUGGGUAAGGAUGAGAGCCUUAGCAAAGCUUCAUUACAAUCAGAAUCCCAAUACUCAUAUUUUCUCGUUUUGAAGAUUAAAAUGUCAUCUAGGUUUAGUAAAUAUAUUAAUAUGCUAACCAUCAAAACCAAUGAAUUGAUAAAAAUAUCUACCGAUUUUUUACUUUUAAACAGUGAUUUUACUCUGAUUCUUGUUGUAAAACCACAAACCAUUAUAAAUUGGCCAUGCUGCACUAUCCCGAAUAACACAUCCCAAACUCUCUUACAAAUUCAAGAGGAGGAGAUAUCCGAAACUAAGCCGGAAUAGCCAAAACCAUGGCACCUCCAAAAAGAAUCUCUGCCCUACUUAAGCCGAGAAGCAACUGAAAACAAUAUCCUCCUCCUUUGUCCCACUCCCCACCAAUGCCCCACCUUUCUCCCUCCCUCUCCCGGCCAUCCAAGCCGUCCAUUUCGUCGGCGCCUUCUCCUCGCCGCCCGAUUCCGAGACCAACUCCCGCCGUUUCCCACCAUCGGCGGCCGCCCGCAUUUGCCUCUCUCUCCGCCGUCUGAUCACGUACUCCUCCGAGAUGUACACGUCCAUCGCCGAUUUGAAUUACCCAAAACGCCCUCCCCAAAUGCCUGUUAUUGCUAUUAUUAUUCUAGCGAAGCGGGCAGAAUUGGGCAAGUGGGAACAAUGUGGGGUAUAGCUUUGGAGA
rnacentral:lncRNA from 1 species